GUCGGGACUUGGGACGUGCUCCAUUGUAGCUGGAACAAUGGCGCUCGGUGUAACGGAGCUGUUAUGUGAAGACACUAUGAUGCAAAAGAAAAUUCCAAAACAUGGGAGAAUAUUAGCUGGGAAAUUACCUGGCUAAAAUAUAUUCUUACCAGCAUCCUGAGGAUUGAUAAAUACUAAUGAAGCUAUCCGUGUCAGCUUCGUUUUGAAUGAGGGAUCACUAUCUGCCAGUUGAAAGGGGCCAGUUUGCUGCUGAUUUUGAGCUGUAACCAUUUCUGGCCAGUGUUACAAGAGUGACCUGCAUGUUGUGUGGAAAACUGGUAAUCAGGAAAAGCUCUUCAUUUUAUGGACAUGGAAGGAAAACAUAUGCAUCAAGAUAGAGUGUUUAUUUUUAAUUUUGCAAAUAGAUUCUGAACUACAUCAAAUCUAGAUUAAUAUAUUCAUAAGAUUUCAAGCCAUUUCUAUUUAGUCAUGUCACACUGCCCUACAGAGUCACAACCUGUUAACUAGUAGAUUAUAUUCUAGAUCUGUUUCUAGGAAUGCAUGUCAAACUAAGCAUUUGUAAUGGAAUUUUUUUGGCAGUUAAGUAGCCUUGUAAUCAAAUAAUUGUGGAUAAAUGUCCUAAUUUUGAUCAUAUGUUUAAAGUUAAAAUGCAUAAAUAAAGUGGAGUGAAAGUU